rnacentral:rRNA from 1 species
CAGUAGCACGGGAAUACAGAGGGUGCGAGCGUUAAUCGGAUUUACUGGGCGUAAAGCGUGCGUAGGCGGCUUCUUAAGUCGGAUGUGAAAUCCCUGAGCUUAACUUAGGAAUUGCAUUCGAUACUGGGAAGCUAGAGUAUGGGAGAGGAUGGUAGAAUUCCAGGUGUAGCGGUGAAAUGCGUAGAGAUCUGGAGGAAUACCGAUGGCGAAGGCAGCCAUCUGGCCUAAUACUGACGCUGAGGUACGAAAGCAUGGGGAGCAAACAGGAUUAGAUACCCGCGUAGUCCCUGUCUCUUAUACA